GGGCGGUUAGCUCAGUUGGUAGAGCGCCUGCCUUACAAGCAGGAUGUCACUGGUUCGAGCCCGGUACCGCCCA
rnacentral:tRNA from 8 species